GCUACUAAGAGAAGAAAGAAAAAGUGAUUUUCAUUCUCUCUCCUUGAUGAUAUUAUCGCAGACAUCAGCAAUUUCUUCAUUUUCUAAUGGAAGUUUAAACUUGAUUCUGUUUCCCUCUUUUUUCUAGUUCUGCACCCAAAAAAUGUUGUUCUUUCUGUUUUGGAUUUAAUUUUUAAUGGAUUAUCUUAUAUUUAAUUUUAUUAAUAGUAUAUUUGAUUCUAAACUUAAUCUGUGAUUUUUUUCUUUACACUGAAGAAUUUUUUAAUAAAUUCUAAAUUUAUUUAAUUUUUCAACACGUAUUUAUUUAUUAUCUUUUUUCUAGUAUGCAUUAAUUUAACUUAAGAUUAUAGUUAUUAAUUUCUGCUAAUUAAUUUGGGAUUGAUUUAAUUUAUACAAUUAAUUAUACUCGACCAACAAUUCUUUCAUGAGGUAUAUGUAUUUCUUAUUGCGUUGUGUAAGAUUACUGAUGACAGUUUUUGUAUUUGUUGAUGACAUGUAAAGUUUGUUAUUUUUGUUUUUCAUUUAUUUGUGAUGUUGCCCUUUGGCUGUAGGUGUUUAGCAGUCUGUAUAUAUGUGCUAGUGGUAAAACCCAUUUGCUUAGUGUGAGAAAAAAUAUAUAACAAAAAUUUUUGUCUUCUUCUCCCAUAUUUUCUUCUCUGCUCUGUUCUGCUCUGUUAUGAUUUCAUCUUCUUCUUCUUCUCCCAUAUUUUGUUGGGUUCUGCUUUGUUUUGCAUUUCUUUUUAACACUUUGUUAUACUUUCCCUUCUGUUGACUCUUUCUCUGAAACAAUUGUCACUCCUGUAUUCCACAGGAAAAUGGUGUUCUAACUGUUAUACAUUUUUUUGUAUGUAGUUUUACUAGUUUUAGUUGAUUAUACUCUAGUUAAUGAGGUUUAUUGUUAUAAAUGAAGGCGAAGAAAGCUUUGGUGAUCAUGGGAUUUACAUCCCAUGCUUAUAUGGUAGAUCUCUGUUUCAGGUUGUUCAAUGAUUGAUUGAACAACUGGUUCCAAGAUGGAGGAAUAUUUAGAUGUUUUUAUAUUUAUUAGAAGUGUCUUGAAGGAUUUUUCUUUCAGAAUGUUGUUUAAGAUCUGAUUUACUAUGUUUUGUGAUAAUGGAAAUUUUUUGGUUCAGCAUAUAGCUGCUUGGAUUGUUGUUGAGCCCUGAGGCCCUGAACUUAAGGUCCUAGAGGUUUCUCAAGAACCCUUCAUCUUAGCCAUCUUCAGUUAUUGGUGAGGACAGUGUCAGAAUGCUCUGAAUGGUGGCUGAAGGCCUUGGGCAGUUGAAGAUGCCUGACUACACCCUUAGAGAGGGACAAUUAAACAUGCCUCUUAAAAUAAUUCCCUUGUGCUGUGGCAAUAAAGUAAGAAUUCACAGCACUUGUUACUUGUUUGUCGAUUUGGAAACUCGUAAGAUUUGGAAAAUAGUAAAAAGCUUCUCCAUUUUCCUGGUGAAAUUUGCUAAAUUUUAUGGUUCUACAGGUUUAAUUAGGGUGGGUCAUGAAACAAAAAAGCCAUGGUUGAAGAACAUGAGCUAAUCAAUUAGAUUGACAAAAACAGCUUAUGAUGUUCACCAGAGUAUCCAAAGACUGCGGAAUGGCAAGCUGGUGUCAACCAUAAUCAUUGGUUGCCCAUCAGUCUAGAAAACCAAAUUGCAAUAAUAUUGUUGACGUUACAAGGGUGAUCCGUUUCCGAUUUGAAUUAACAGGAUGGGAAGUGUUUCUCCUUUCCAUUAUGAUUGAUUGCAACGAUGCUUGUUCAUCUCUUGGGAAUGCAUUUUGGGAAGUACUAACUUGUGAGCAAAUAUUCGGCGAAAAGAACCAGAAUUUUUUCCACUUUGAGCAAAGAAAGGAGUAGGAAAGUUGUAGUGAGCUAUUUGUUGAUUCCUCGUUCAGUUUCUCAAAAUGAUGUAGAAGAUGGAUGAGUGAAAUUACUUCAAGAAACAACUUAAUUACGCAGGAAAUUUACUUGUAGACUUUGUAACUCGGAAUCGAAGGAUUC
rnacentral:lncRNA from 1 species